UACGUAGGGAGCAAGCGUUAUCCGGAUUUAUUGGGUGUAAAGGGUGCGUAGACGGGAGAGCAAGUUGGUUGUGAAAUCCCUCGGCUUAACUGAGGAACUGCAACCAAAACUACUAUUCUUGAGUGCUGGAGAGGAAAGUGGAAUUCCUAGUGUAGCGGUGAAAUGCGUAGAUAUUAGGAGGAACACCAGUGGCGAAGGCGACUUUCUGGACAGUAACUGACGUUGAGGCACGAAAGUGUGGGGAGCAAACAGG
rnacentral:rRNA from 1 species